UCUCUGGUGGCCUAGUGGUUAGAGCAUCUGUCUCAGAUUUGGGAGGUUGCAGGUUUGAAUCCUGGCAGAGUCAUGCCAAAGAC